CUCAGCACCCAGCCCUGGGCAGCCAGGGGCUGAGGCUGGGGUGAACUCCGCUGCAUCCAUGGUCGUGGCCCUCCCUUCGCCAUCUCUACAGCCAAAGAGAGGAGAGGCAGGUGCUCUUGCAGCCCCCAGCCCCACUCAGCACUGACAGUCCCACCCUCCCAGCCUGAAGCCGCGAGAUGCUUCCUCAGACCGGGGCCAGCUCCCCCCCCCAUCCCCCCCAGUGAACGCUCCGUGGCAGCACCAGCCGCUCUUGCCACCUCCGGCUGCCAAACAGCAGCCGGCAGUGCAGCCAGCAGCCCUGGGCCAGGGAGACCGCCCGGGCCAGCUCAGGGUAGCUUGCGCCAGCACAGGGGCCAGGCAGACGUCCUGGGGGCAGGAAGAGAGAGUGGUUCGCGGCUGCCCUCCCUGCUCAGGCCCCUGUUAGGUGGGGGUGGCGAGGGCUCCGUGUAGUCAGCACACGGGAAUGUGCUCUGGGAGAAUGCUGAAGUCAUAAUCCCCAGCUAUUUCCCUUGGCUGGCGCCCAGGUACUCAGCUGGCCCGCUCCGCAGCCAGGCCCAGCCCAGCUGCUCGACCUCGGACAUUCUCAGAAGCGGCCAUAAGAGGGUCGGAAUGGUUUCACGGCAGUUUUGCUGAUUCCAUUUGUAUCUGUAAAUACUUGUUCUAUAUAUAAAAUGCAAAUAAAUAUUAUACACA